AGCUGGGACACCAAAAGACUGUGGCCUCUCUCCCAUCCUGCACUGUCUUCUCCUAGGCUACUUUCUCCUGUUCCUUUCCGUGGAUUUCUAUCUUCUUACCCAGUGCCUGGAGGCAAAACCUUUUGGAUAGCACAGAGAUGAUCUGGCUAGCAUUCGAGCAUUCCAGGCUCUGAACCCUGGUUGGAAAAUGGCCUUUUUCUCUUUCCUGCAAGUGAUACUUCCUUGAGGCUUAGUUUCCCAAUCAAGAAAGGAGUGUUCGUAGACUUAAUUUGAAAACAAGAUGCUUAGACUGGCAUGUUGGAGACAUCAAUGAUAUCUGUGCUUGGGUAUUACUGCACACUAGAGAUGUCAGAGAAGGGAGGCUUCUAACUUGUGGGCUGUGUGUUCUGCAUGUCUGUGUGGACCUAGCUCGGGGGCAGGUCUGGCCCAAGGGUGUCAGUUUCUCCCUAAUUACUGGUGAUUAUUUUUCUUUGAGUCUUCCAGAAACUGCUGUCUGAAGAAGAAAAGAUCAGCCACUGCGUAGUAGAGACCCCUUUCUGGUAAAAUUAGAAACUCACCAGGCCUCACAAGAUUGGAGAUUUUGUUCUUAACCUGAGGGUGGGAGACUUGGGGGGAGGGCGCGUUAAUAAGCCUUGAGCUGCUCCAGGGGGGUUAGGAGAACUAGCCAGGGAGUCUGGGCUGCCAUGGGGAGUGAUUCAUUGUGGUUUCCCGAGGAAAUGCCACACUUUACCUGUAGGCUGCAGUUUGGUGGUUUUACUUGAGUGUUUGAGAUUCCUCUGACUCUCAAGACAUAGAGGAAGGACCGCGUGUGGGCAAGUGAGAACUGAAAUGACCAUGCUGGGAACUGAAACUUGGGUACCAGCUCUAUCUCCCAAGGACAAACAGACCUGUGCUUGGCACCCAAAGGCAUGUCUCUUCUUCAACACUUUCUGUAGUUACAGGUCACAGGUAAAGCUCCAAGCUGGGCCCCAAGAACCUGGAAUGCCUGCCCCUCAUAGCCACCAUCCUAUUGGAAAGAACCUCUACCCAACUGAGGUCGGCAGAUAAAUCACAGAGCAGAAGUCGGGCCCUCACAGUUCACCGUUUGAUCCACUGUGUCUGACACCCCCACAUCCUCACCACCCGCACCUCUCCCAACAUCCUGCCCCUGGUCCUGUUGCUGCAUAGCUCCUGUCUCUAUUGUAUCUUUCCGGAUGCUUGCUUAACAUUUCCCCAUGGCUAAGCUGCAUCACAGCAGAAUUCUUGACUGUCUCUUGUGUUCCCACUCUCAGUGCCAAGAACCAUACGAGCACAUGGGAGCCCCUCAGUCAGCACAUGUUGGAUAUAAGGGGCAAAGACUAGAAAUCCAAAUCUGUCAUCCAAGCAUGCCAAUUCACUCUCUCCCUCAGCUCCCUGAAUCCUUUACUCAGAGACUUGAUGUGAAGUGUUCAGUGUAAUGGAAGAAGCUCCAGUGGGCUCUGCUAAUGGUCCUGGGAAAUGAACGCUGUGAACAAUUAGGACUGUCAGUUGACAUAACUGUAGUCUCUUUGGCACAUCACCAGUUAAUUAUGCCCUCCUCUGUGCUUCCCCAGCAUCUCCUCAUUAAAGGUCUUGACUAUUGGGCCAGGGCAUGGUGGCACAUGCCUGUACUCCCAGCUCUCGGAAGGAUGAGAAGUUCAAGGUCGUGUUUAGAUACAUAGGGAAUUUGAACCUCACCUAAGCUGCUUGAGACCCAGUCUCAAAAAACCAAAAAGACUACUUGUUGCAUUAUAUGUCAUAUUAAAUGGCAAGCCAUUCUGCAGUGAAGGGAAGGGAAGGGAAGGGUCCACAUUAAUGACCCCUUGCUCUAAGGAAGGCCUUAGGACCAAGGUGAAUUAAAUCUGCUUAGCAUUGGCCAAGGGACCCAAUAGUUUCUUUGCAUUUGUUCUCCAAACAGACAAGCAAGAAAUUAACCCAUCCUUUCACUAUUCACCCCUCCCCCCUUUUCUCCUCCCUCCUUUGUUCUGCUUGGGUUCACUUCCCAGAUGAAGUAACCGUACCUAACUCCUGGUCUCCAGUUUUGCUUCUGAGACAACUCAAUUCAGAACAGCAUGUUAUCUAUAAAUUCACGCUGACUGUCUGGGCACUCCCUAUGUGCCUGAGCCAAGAUAGCAUGAACAGGCCUCAUAGUUGGGUAAUACUGGAAGGUAAGGUGCACGUUCAGUAACAGAAACCAAAAAGACUAAAACACUUUUGCACUAUUUUAUAGUUAAGGAAACUGAGGCACCUGAAUGUUGAGUGACUUGCCUGAAGCCAAAUAGUUAGUGAGUGGAGGAGCUCUAGUCUCCUAACUCUUUGCUAUCCAUACUGCCUUUCCUGGGAGUUGAAGCCAUGGGUACCAGCUGUAGCUGAAUAUACUCUUAAAUCGCAUGGAAGACGGAAGCAGGAAAGGACCAGGGGGUCAAGGGAAGAAAUUACUCUCAAAGACAGGAGAUGGCCAACACUCAUAAAUAUCCCAGAAAAUUCAGUCCUGUGAGGAUCGAGAGAUGAGCAUCUAUUGCACUGGACAGUGCAAGGCUACUGACUUCUACCGGGGCUGUGUGGAUGGAGCAAAGGGAUCGGAAGCCAGAUUGCAGUGGGUUGUGGAACGAGUGGGAGCCUGCAAGUGUAGACAACUCUUUUGAGAAAUGUGGCUGUCUAGCACGUGGGAGGCAAGGGUGGAGGCUUCUCAAAGAUGGCCAGGCAUGCCAGCGUCUGUGGGGGACGGGAAGGUUCUGUUGGAGCAGUUGCAUCUGCAGAGGCAGAACUGGGGGGGCCCACCGGAGGAAAGCGGGAUGGGGCAGGCUCUGAACUAUGGGAGAACCACUUAGUCCACUGGAGGGGAAGGCCAGCUGAUAAUAUCCAGAGCAUCAUGAAUUUAUCCUAGAUUCAUAGAUAGGAAUUAAGUGGAUCUCUAAAGUUCCCCUAGUUGAAUUCCUUACGAAAUUCGUGAUCAGGACAAUCAAAUGAGGUUGAUAUAAAACGCCUUCAACCUCAUGACGAAAACGGAAUGAGAAGCUAUUUUGGGUCCAAGUAUGUUAGUGAAUCAGGAGCAGUGAGGCUGAGGGAAGAGUUAGGAGACAGCUGGCACUGUGUGCUGGCUGAUGGGGGUGCAGGGCACAUAGGAGGGACAAUGGUGCUCACCUGUGAGGAGGAGGAGGGAGAGGAGGAGGGGGUAUUUUUAACCAUCACAAAGAGGGAGAAGGAGAAGAUUCUGAGGAGGAAGGGUCAUACAGAGGCCAUCCUGCUCCCCUGGAACUGGAGUUAUAGAGUUGUGAGCUGUCCUGUGGUUGAUGGCGACUGAACCCAGGUUCUCUACAAGAGCAGUCUGCCUGGUUCCUUGCUGCAGGCUGGCUGCCCUGGAAGUCUUCUCAGGAACUAUGAGAACAUCAAGUCUGUUCAGAUGGCAUCUCCUAGACAUCUCAUUUACAUACUCUUUCUCUCUCAGGCUGGCACCCCUUGUCAUCAUGGAUUUUGCUACCCUACCAGCCAAGGAUGCUGCCUGUGGACCUUUGACGAGAACCAUGAGUCAAGAUGAGAUCCCCUCGAUCCAGUCUUUAUAUUGUUGCUAACAGAAGAUGGAGUAAGACACCCAUAUUCUCUAACAACCUUCUACAAAGUUAGAGGUGAACAAGACUCCAAUUAGUGUCCUAAUGCUCUCCAAAACACACCCAGGAGCACUAGAUCUAAAGAUACCAGCCUAUGAGGAUACUGGUCAUAAUGGGAUGAAAUCUCAGUUUUGCAGCUCUGAGGCUGGAUCUAUAGCUGGUCCCAGUACGUUCUCCACACUAAAGCCUGCAGAGCCGUUCAGAAGCUACCCUGUGGGCUCAAAGAGCUUGGAUGUUAUUGCCACUCUUUCUAGGUAAGGACCAAGCUCCUUUUCUUGCUCUCCUCCCACUCCCCUCCUGAUUUCUAACCCUUGCAGCGUUCCAGCUAUUUAACUGCUUGAGCAAGGUUAACUCUUGAUUGAUGGACCAUUUUGUCCACCACAAGGGCUCCGGGGAUAAAUCUGUGAGAUGAGGCUAAAUUUUAUCAACAGUUUAGGAGUGAUUCUACAUUUGAACAACUGGUUCAGCUCCUGAAGUGUGUUUGAUUUCCAUCUGUGCUCCUGAAGCCUUUCUUCUUCUAGUUGCUGGAACUUUCCACACUGCUGUCAGUCAAAAGGUCCUCUCUCCACAGCUCCUGUUGUUCUUUAGAUCUCAGCCCCUGUGUUCAGUCCAACAGGGAAACCUGCUCUGUGGCCUUCUCCAGAGCUGGGUGUGUGGAUUGUUUCUCCCUGUUUUAACCCCCUCCUAUUUAUUUAUGCAUUUUUGGCUCAACAUUCUCUGUAAUUGAUUGUGGCAUGUAUCAGUCACUUACUGCUGAAAGAAUAAAACGAGAAUCGAGUGGUUAGGUUGAGCAUUUGUUUUAAAAAGAAUAUCAUUAAGUUAUUUCCAUAUAUGCAUACAAUGAGCCUUGACCAUCCUUUCAUGGUCUCUUCUAUACUUCUAAUGCCCUUCUUCCCUUUCACAUCUCUGUGAGAUAAGAAAAUGGGUCUUUGUGGGGCUCUUUUAUUCCACUUAACAUAUUGAUUUCUAGUUCCUUCCACUUUCCUGCAAACAGCAUAGUUUCAUUCAUUAUGACACAACUAAGUUUCAUGAUGUAUGUUUACUAUAUUUUCUUUAUUUGUUCUUCCUUUGGUAGUUAUCAGGCAAUGUUUUAAAAUUCGAUGUUAUGCAUGGGUAUUGUGCAUGCUGCCCCAAUCUCUGUGAGGUCCUGUGUGCAACUGCCCUGCUGUGUCCAGAAUGCUCGGCUUCAAUGCCGUUGUCUCUCACUUCUGGCUCUUAGAGUGUUUCAGGCCAAUCUUGCACCAUGAUUUUGGAUGGGUACACACCCAAAAGUAUGUAGGUGGCAUAAAAUGGACUUGGUGAGUUUUCAAAAAUGAGGACACAAAGUUAGAUGGGUAUGGAAUGAGGGGUGGAUCUGGGAGGAGUUGUGGAAAGGUGGAUAAGUUUAAGCAAAUAUAAUGCAAAAAAUUCUCAAAGCAUUUAAUACAAAUAUUUGAUGCUAUAUGUUCCAGUGGACAUUUGUUUUUGAUUGUUUGUUUGUUUUGUUUUUUCCAUUAUACUUUUUUGGAGUCAAUUUGGCCAAAUAAUAGAAAGCCCUUGAAGAUACAUGCCUAACUUGUCAUGAGGAAACCUGGUUCCUGCCCAUUCCACAUCAACCUGUCUCUUCACUAGUUACCCAGUCUCCCAUAUUCUACUUAGAGAGCAACAAGAGACCAAAGAAAUGAUUGUGUCUACAUCCAGGUUCUUCUGGACACAAGGAGCCCCAGCUACAUGGCCUUGGCAUCAUUAACCCCAUCCUGCCUAUCUCACCAUGAUGGAUUGACGGUACGGAUUCUCUCAAGACAAAGCAAGCAAAACUUUUGUCUUGUAAAUGGUGUCUUGUCAGCUGCUUGGUCACAGGAAGCAAAAAGUAACCAACAAAGGGCUUUUCUCAACUGCCCUGGCUUCCAGUUAUAAAACUUAAUACAUUCCUUCCUUUGAAGCUAGUUUCGGCUCAAUGAUUUGUCAUUUACAUGAAGCAUAAUUCCAUUGACAUCUUUUUUUAAGCUCUAGUUUCUCAACUCUAAAAAUGGAAUAUGAUAACUUAUGCAGUUAAAGUAAGAUUUGAAUGAGAUGCCUUGUAUAAAGUGUAUAUAUAUAUGUACAUAUAUGUAUAUGCAUAUGAGGGUUCCUGAGAUAUAGAAAUUAUCUUUGUGAAUGAUGGCUACUUAAAUUUUUAUUUAUUUACUUUUUAUUUAUGUUUAUGCCUAUUUAUAUGUGUCCUGUGUGCCUGCAGGGCCUGUGGAAGUGAGAAGAGCCUCAGUUUCUACACUUGCUGUGUACAGUCUGGUUUGUUAGCCAGAGUGACCUCUUUUAAGGCUCAUUGAGAGAGGUAGCUUGCAGAGCCAUUUGCAAAAUUCUGUGGGUGGCCCUGGUGUAAGCUGCCACAUGGAUGCUGGGAACAAACCUGGGUCCUCUAUAAGAGCCAUGUCUAGCUUUAUGACUAAUUCUUAACAGGUUAUUAUAAUCUGAAAGGAACUAGUGGUAAUAGAUGCAUUGUACUAUAUUUUUAAAAUUAUAGAACUCUUAUAAAAUUGAAUUCACCAAUUUAAUAAAGAAAAUUCACUACAAGAA